UGAUGAUAUCUAUGUCCUUCAUCAACUACUCCAAGUUGUCUACUUUGUUGCUUGGCCCAUGUAGUGAUCAUUUAGUGUUGGUGGUGAUGGUUGCAGUGUGGUUGUUUAAAGUCGCAGUGUGACAAUCAGUGGUUUCGUGUUAUUUCUUAUUUCAGAAAGGAUUGUUCGGAGCACUUCCAUCAUCUCAAAGUAGUUGUUGAGUGAAGGAAUAGGGGGAAGGUCUGAA
rnacentral:lncRNA from 1 species